UGCAAGUCGAGCGCGGGAAGCCGGCGGACUCCUUCGGGAGGAAACCGGUGGAACGAGCGGCGGACGGGUGAGUAACACGUGGGCAACCUGCCGGACUGAUGGGAAUAACCCCGGGAAACCGGGGCUAAUGCCCAAUACGCCCUGACCUCGCCUGAGGUCAGCGGUAAAGCAGGGAUCUUCGGAUCCUUGCACAGUCCGAUGGGCCCGCGGCGCAUUAGCUAGUUGGAGAGGUAAGGGCUCCCCAAGGCGACGAUGCGUAGCCGACCUGAGAGGGUGAUCGGCCACACUGGGACUGAGACACGGCCCAGACUCCUACGGGAGGCAGCAGUAGGGAAUCAUCCGCAAUGGGCGAAAGCCUGACGGUGCAACGCCGCGUGAGUGAUGAAGGUUUUCGGAUCGUAAAGCUCUGUUGACAGGGAAGAACCCACGUCAGUCGAACAGGCUGGCGUGCUGACGGUACCUGUCCAGAAAGCCCCGGCUAACUACGUGCCAGCAGCCGCGGUAAUACGUAGGGGGCAAGCGUUGUCCGGAAUUAUUGGGCGUAAAGGGCACGCAGGCGGUUUCGUCAGUCCGAUGUGACAGGCCACGGCUCAACCGUGGAAGGCCAUUGGAAACUGCGAAACUUGAGGACAGAAGAGGAGAGUGGAAUUCCACGUGUAGCGGUGAAAUGCGUAGAUAUGUGGAGGAACACCAGUGGCGAAGGCGACUCUCUGGUCUGUACCUGACGCUGAGGUGCGAAAGCAUGGGGAGCAAACAGGAUUAGAUACCCUGGUAGUCCAUGCCGUAAACGCUGAGUGCUAGGUGUUAGGGGUUUCGAUACCCGUAGUGCCGAAGCUAACGCAUUAAGCACUCCGCCUGGGGAGUACGACCGCAAGGUUGAAACUCAAAGGAAUUGACGGGGGCCCGCACAAGCGGUGGAGCAUGUGGUUUAAUUCGACGCAACGCGAAGAACCUUACCAGAUCUUGACAUCUUCCGCUACGCCUCGAGAGAAGGCGGUUCCCCUUCGGGGGACGGAAUGACAGGUGGUGCAUGGUUGUCGUCAGCUCGUGUCGUGAGAUGUUGGGUUAAGUCCCGCAACGAGCGC
rnacentral:rRNA from 1 species